rnacentral:snRNA from 1 species
GUGCUCGCUUCGGCAACACAUAUACUAAAAUUGGAAUGAUACAGAGAAGAUUAGCAUGGCCCCUGCACAAGGAUAACAUGCAAAUUUGUGAAGUGUUCCAUAUUUUU